UCUGGCUGAGGUAGUAGUUUGUGCUGUUGGUCGGGUUGUCAUAUUACCCCUUGUGGAGAUGACUGCGCAAUCUACUGCCUUGCCGGC
rfam:Oreochromis niloticus linkage group LG17, whole genome shotgun sequence.